AUUGAACGCUGGCGGCAGGCUUAACACAUGCAAGUCGAGCGAGCGGCGGACGGGUGAGUACUGUCUGAGAAACUGCCUGAUGGAGGGGGAUAACUACUGGAAACGGUAGCUAAUACCGCAUACCAUCAGAUGUGCCCAGAUGGGAUUAGCUAGUUGGUGGGGUAACGGCUCACCUAGGCGACGAUCCCUAGCUGGUCUGAGAGGAUGACCAGCCACAUGGGAACUGAGACACGGUCCAGACUCCUACGGGAGGCAGCAGUGGGGAAUAGUGGACAAUGGGCGCAAGCCUGAUGCAGCCAUGCCGCGUGUAUGAAGAAGGCCUGCGGGUUGUAAAGUACUUUCAGCGAGGAGGCGUUACUCGCAGAAGAAGCACCGGCUAACUCCGUGCCAGCAGCCGCGGUAAUUC
rnacentral:rRNA from 1 species